UACAGAGGGGGCAAGCGUUGUUCGGAAUUACUGGGCGUAAAGGGCGCGUAGGCGGCCUGUUAAGUCGAACGUGAAAUCCCCGGGCUCAACCCGGGAACUGCGUCCGAUACUGGCAGGCUUGAAUCCGGGAGAGGGAUGCGGAAUUCCAGGUGUAGCGGUGAAAUGCGUAGAUAUCUGGAGGAACACCGGUGGCGAAGGCGGCAUCCUGGACCGGCAUUGACGCUGAGGCGCGAAAGCCAGGGGGAGCAAACGGGG
rnacentral:rRNA from 1 species